AUGUUCAGAUUACUUUUCUUGGAACCGAACCGUGGAGAAGUAGCAAAGCCAGUGGACAAAUUUCAUCAAGACCAGCAGAGCCAAGGAACUCUACUCCUGGAGAACAUCAAGAAGAACAUGGUGAAUUUGCCUACGCAUAAAUCCGCAACAUAUGAGUCAAGUAACCUGCAAGAAAUCAGAGAGCUCUGGCUCCAGUUCCUCGAAUGUGCUGUUCUGGACUAUGGCAAAUCCAUCGUGACACUGGCGCGCUCAUAUCUUUGGGAUGAAUUUAGAAAAUGUAUGGCUGGAGAUAGAGAAGCCCUACGUCAAAAGAUCUCUGCGGAUGACAUUGAGACCACCUUUUCCAGUCACAGUGCUGUUGAUAAAGAGACAAUGAAAGAGGAAGUGCUCUAUCAAACAGGAGAAACACCAACUCUUACUGCUGACCAAGAUACUCGUGACUCCCCAAGUUCAAACUCUCAUGACAUCAAUUUGGUGGAUAUUAUCCUCAGGACAUUAUGGUGCAUGGAGCCUCUCCUUGAUGAAGUUAUGAAGACAAAGCCUAUCUGCUCCAAGCAUGGCCACGGUGAACCAUGUGUCGGUGUCAUCGUUCACAAGAUCUUACACUUGUGGGAGAAGGCAGAAGAUCACCAGCAACAACUGCUCCCUCUAGCCAACACAGUGUGCAGAACCUUGGAGGAUGACAAUUGCUUUGACGAGCGGCAGGACAGAAGCAAGCGUGUAUCUGACACCACAGUAGCCAUUCUUAAUGGACUACACUUGCCAGAUGUUUGUUUACAACUUGGAAUCAUGUCUGAUACCAUGAGGCCAGAAACAGAAGCUUUUGUUUGCAAGUAUCAUUACCCUCCUGCUAUGAAGCCCAUGAGGCCAAUGGGUUGUGGUUGCAAAACAUGUUCACCUGGACAACUUAAUGCAGAUCCAAGCAAGGUCGAGCACAUAUGCAAACAGUGCAGUUCUGCUGCUCUGAAGGACCCAUACUCAGCUGUUGUCAUACAUUGCUCAAUGAAGAUGGAGGAUCAGCAAUCACUGGCGGAAAUAUGGGAUGAUACUCUUCAACCUCUGAUGACAUUUGAGUACAACCAUGGCACAAUAUUUUACGGCUUAGCCGCAAUGGUAUUACGAGGAAGGGGAAUAUUGUUUGAUAUGAAUAGCCAUGAAAAGCUGUGCAUGGUUUUCUGUUUUGAGAUGCACACACAGUAUCUUAAAACCCAACUUGGAUUCACCGAUAUAUUGAAAAGGCCGUAG
rnacentral:rRNA from 1 species